CUUAAAAUAACGACAUAAAACUCUUUACUUCUUGAAAAAUAUUUUAUAAAAACUUCAAUAAGAAUGAACAUUUUGACACAUCUACUGGUAUCAUCAAUCUAUAUAAAAUCUUUUAUAAUUUUUCGUUUCAUAUUAUCUUUCAGAACUCUCAGUCUUCAUUAUAAGUACAAGUAAGUACAUGUAUUAAAGUCAAUCACAUAAAAAUGAAUAUGAAAUCAGAAGAGUAAUGGCAUAACUAAUACCUGAUUAUUCAAUUAUAUGUAUUUCAAUGAUCCUAUUUCAAUGAAAUCACAAAAUUUUAAUAUCAACUGCAUAUUGCAUCACACAACAUAUUGUUCAAAAACUCUGUUCAACAAGAGUAUAUGAACCCUAAACUCCCAAACAUACAGUGAUGGGAGGUUGAUUUAGUAGUCCAACCCAACAGGAGCGAAAAAUUCCUUAACCUGUUGCUCGGAGCCACGGAGACAUAUGCAUUACUGAAAUUCACCUUCAGGAUACAAAUAUUGUUUAUUCGAUUUGAAAUAUUUCAAAAGCUGUGAAGUCAAAGGUAGCCAAGGCAAACAGUUCUGCUUUAAAAGUGAUAAUUUGAAGUCAAAGGUGAUAAUUUAUAAUUAUCCGAUUAGAUUGCUGUUAUAAAGGGCUACUUCCGUAAUACAGAUAUCGCUCCCUGGGAAUGGUAGGUGCUGUAGAAAAUGUGGCUAUAAUAUGAUGCCGUUUCGAUUAUAUCCCUCCUCUCUGUGGUCCCUGUUUGCCAAACCAGGGGCUUGUUCGUUUAUGCGGACAAACUGGUUAGUCAGUUUUUAAAUGUAAUAUUUCAAACAUAUAUCUUGACGGACCUGUAAAUGUUAAUACAGGCCUUGGAAGUGUUUGUCAAGGCUCGUCUGAAAAAAAUAUAAAAUCACCAGGUCCGUCUUUAUUUCAUAAAUGAAUACCAGUCCAACUGGUCCAACCUUUUGGACCACAAAAUAAAGAAAACGGCCCUGGAGUCCUCUUGUCAGGUAGACACUUAACUGGAGAAUCAUUGAAAAA